rnacentral:rRNA from 1 species
GAUGAACGCUGGCGGCGUGCCUAAUACAUGCAAGUCGAGCGAACGGACGAGAAGCUUGCUUCUCUGAUGUUAGCGGCGGACGGGUGAGUAACACGUGGAUAACCUACCUAUAAGACUGGGAUAACUUCGGGAAACCGGAGCUAAUACCGGAUAAUAUUUUGAACCGCAUGGUUCAAAAGUGAAAGACGGUCUUGCUGUCACUUAUAGAUGGAUCCGCGCUGCUUUAGCUAGUUGGUAAGGUAACGGCUUACCAAGGCAACGAUGCAUAGCCGACCUGAGAGAGGGAUCGCCCACACGGGAACUGGAACAGGGUCCAGACUCCUGCGGGAGGCACCAGUAGGGAAUCUUCCGCAAUGGGCGAAAGCCUGACGGAGCAACGCCGCGUGAGUGAUGAAGGUCUUCGGAUCGUAAAACUCUGUUAUUAGGGAAGAACAUAUGUGGAAGUAACUGUGCACAUCGUGACGGUACCUAAUCAGAAAGCCACGGCUAACUACGUG